AUUGAACGCUGGCGGCGUGCCUAACACAUGCAAGUCGAGCGGUAACAGGUGUAGCAAUACAUGCUGACGAGCGGCGGACGGGUGAGUAACGCUUGGGAAUCUGCCUGUUAGUGGGGGACAACCCGGGGAAACUCGGGCUAAUACCGCAUACGCACUACGGUGGAAAGCCGGGGACCGCAAGGCCUGGCGCUAACAGAUGAGCCCAAGUCGGAUUAGCUAGUUGGUAGGGAACGGCCUACCAAGGCGACGAUCCGUAACUGGUCUGAGAGGACGACCAGUCACACCGGAACUGAGACACGGUCCGGACUCCUACGGGAGGCAGCAGUGGGGAAUAUUGGACAAUGAGCGAAAGCCUGAUCCAGCGACGCCGCGUGGGUGAAGAAGGCCUGCGGGUUGUAAAGCCCUUUCGGUGGGGAAGAAAAGCCUCGAGUUAAUACCUCGGGGUCUUGACGUAACCCAUAGAAGAAGCACCGGCUAACUCUGUGCCAGCCGCCCGCCGUAAC
rnacentral:rRNA from 1 species